UCGUGCUGGGCGGGGUGCUAGGGGUGCCCUGAACCCGAAACCCUCUAGAUGCGGGGCCGACCCCCCGCCUGAGGGCUCCCGAUGGUCGGGCCAGCACCGGGCACGUGGUGUCGAAGGCCGGGUCCUGCGCGGCGGGACGCCGUGAAACGGGUCAGGUCCGGAAGGAAGCAGCCCUAAGCGGUCGUUCCCGGGUGCCGCAGGGAUGCCUGGCUGGAGCCAACGACCCGGCACGCGCCGGUUGUCGGAGUUCGAAGGCGGGGUGCACGA
rnacentral:SRP_RNA from 1 species